GGUGCUGAGUAAAUUAUCUUAAAGCUCACACAAACUAAACUGGAUGAAACAAAUCUACGGUCUCUUGGAGCUCGGGAAUGGAGAUAUCUGUAAACCUUAGCACAAGAUUUCCCCACAUUUUAUCUUCUCCAUCACGCUCCUCUUUUUCAUCUGUGUCGUCUCUUCCGGCUUCAACAACACUCCGCGACUCUGCAAUUUCAGCUUCAACGACAACUACAAUUGUUGUCAAAGAAAAAACGCCAGCUACUUCAAUUAAACCUCGAAGAAUCUACAAACCCAACUCUUACGUAUCCAGAAAUUCUGCUGUUCUUCAAGUUCAACAAUCCUCUGACUUGACUUCCUCUCUUCAAAGGUUUGGAGGUUUUUUGAAGGUGCAAGAUUUGAAUGCCAUUUUACGGCACUUUGGGGAGCAAAAUAGAUGGCAGGAUCUUUCACAGCUCUUUAAUUGGAUGCAACAACAUGGGAAGACAAGUGUUUCUUCUUACAGUAGUUAUAUCAAGUUCCUUGGGAAAAGCCUCAAACCCCUUAAGGCACUAGAAAUCUACAACACCAUUACAGAUGAAUCAACCAAAACCAAUGUCUUCAUAUGUAACUCUGUCCUUAGUUGUCUGGUCAGAAAUGGAAAGCUCGACAACAGCAUCAAACAGUUUGAUAAAAUGAAGCAGAAUGGCCUGACACCAGAUGCCGUCACUUACAAUACGCUGCUAACAGGUUGCAUUAAAGUCAAGCACGGCUAUUCGAAGGCACUGGAGUUGAUUCAGGAACUGAAACAUAAUGGGCUACAAAUGGACAGUGUGAUGUAUGGCAUACUUUUGGCUGUUUGUGCUUCAAAUAAUCUACAUGAAGAAGCUGAGAGCUACUUUAACUGCAUGAAGGAUGAAGGUCAUUCACCUAAUCUAUAUCACUAUAGCUCGUUACUAAAUGCUUACUCAUCAGGUGGAAACUAUGAGAAGGCUAAUAAGUUGGUUCAAGAAAUGAAAUCUUCAGGGUUAGUACCAAAUAAGGUCAUAUUGACAACAUUAUUAAAGGUAUAUGUUAGAGGGGGUUUGUUUGAUAAAUCGAGGGAACUAUUAGCUGAGCUGGACACUUUAGGCUAUGCUGAAGAUGAGAUGCCAUAUUGUUUAUUGAUGGAUGGACUUGCUAAGGCUGGACGUUUAGAUGAAGCAAGAGUAGUUUUCUCAGAAAUGCAUGAAAAAAGUGUUAAAUCAGAUGGCUAUGCCCAUAGUAUCAUGAUUUCAGCAUUCUGCCGUAGUGAGCUUUUUGAAGAGGCAAAGCAGUUGGCCCAGGACUUUGAAGCAAAGUUUGACAAAUAUGACUUGGUCUUGUUAAAUACAAUGCUCUGUGCCUACUGCAGAGCAGGUGACAUGGAGAGUGUGAUGCAUGUUAUGAAGAAAAUGGAUGAAUUAGCAAUCAGUCCUGACUAUAAUACCUUUCAUAUCCUCAUAAAAUAUUUCUGCAAGGAGAAGUUGUAUCUACUUGCUUAUCGGACCAUGGAGGACUUGCAUAGUAAGGGCCAUCAACUGGAGGAGGAACUUUGUUCCACCUUAAUUUUUCAUCUUGGUAAAAUCAGAGCCCACUCAGAAGCGCUCUCUGUGUACAACAUGUUGAGAUAUAGCAAAAGAACGAUGUGCAAGGCUCUUCAUGAAAAAAUUCUGCACAUUCUAAUAGCCGGAAGGCUUCUCAAGGAUGCUUAUAUAGUUGUUAAGGACAAUUCUGGGUCUAUCUCUCAAGCUGCUAUAAAGAAGUUUGGAUCUGCGUUUAUUAGGUUGGGUAACAUUAACUUGGUUAAUGAUGUAAUGAAGGUUUUGCAUGCUUCUGGCUACAAAAUUGAUGAGGGAUUAUUUCAUAUGGCUAUAACACGCUAUAUUGCGGAACCUGAAAAGAAAGAAUUGCUCCUCCAAUUGCUAGAAUGGAUGUCUGGUCAAGGUUAUGUUGUUGAUUCAUCUACGAGAAACAUGAUUCUCAAAAACUCGCACUUAUUUGGACGACAACUUAUUGCUAACUUACUGUCAAAGCAGCAUAUGAUGUUAAAAUCAUUGAGAUCUCCUUAAGGAUGAACAAGAUUAUAUAAAAGGAGUUCCGGGUGAGAAAUUGGUCUCCUACUCCUUCAUGCUAUAAGAGUGGUCAUUGGGUCAGAGACUGCCAAACUUGUUUCGGCAAAUUGCAUUUAGAAGGGCAAUUGAAAGAGAAUCUUGUGAUAGAACGGCACUAUUACUCUUUAGAAGGAAGCAAGUAUCGAAGUGGAAAUUUGGCUUUUCCCUUGAAGAGAGUGUGACAAAUUUCAUUUGAAGGACGACAACAUAGUAAUUUUUGUAGUUUAAUUAAGAGCUGUUUCUGCACAAUUGUUUCCUGCUGCAGGUUAUUCUUGAUGUGAUUACUUCUGUAUUUAAAAUUUAUUGAUGGUAGUGUCAGAUUUUAAGAGGUGGAUUGUCUUGUGUGAAUUUAAAAUGAUUUGUGUGAACAUUAUUGUGUUCCAAAUAGCAGAGGUCAAACUCUUUGUAGUAUCUUUUAUAUUUCAACCGUUACAUUAGCUUCCUACUUGUUGAGAAAAA